rnacentral:miRNA from 1 species
UAAUGCCCUUAAGAAAUCUCA